GUAAGCCGGCCCCUAAGGCGAGGCCGAAAGGCGUAGUCGAUGGGAACCAGGUUAAUAUUCCUGGGCCAGUGGGAUGUGACGGAUCGCAGAUGUAGUUUGCCCUUAUCGGAUUGGGUGGGCUGCUGAGCGGUUCCUGGAAAUAGCCCCACAUCAGACCGUACCCUAAACCGACACAGGUGGACUGGUAGAGUAUACCAAGGCGCUUGAGAGAACCACGUUAAAGGAACUCGGCAAAAUGCCUCCGUAAGUUCGCGAGAAGGAGGCCCCAUAUGUGCGCAAGCAUGUGUGGGGGGCACAAACUAGGGGGUGGCGACUGUUUACUUAAAGCACAGGGCUGUGCGAAGCCGUAAGGCGACGUAUACAGUCUGACGCCUGCCCGGUGCUGGAAGAUUAAGAGGAGGGGUGCAAGCUCUGAAUUGAAGUCCCAGUAAACGGCGGCCGUAACAAUAACGGUCCUAAGGUAGCGAAAUUCCUUGUCGGGUAAGUUCCGACCUGCACGAAUGGCGUAACGAUCUCCCCGCUGUCUCUAACGUGGACUCAGCGAAAUUGAACUGUCUGUCAAGAUGCAGACUACCCGCGGUUAGACGGAAAGACCCCAUGAACCUUUACUCCAGCUUUGCAUUGGCAACAGGACUGUGAUGUGCAGGAUAGGUGGUAGGCAUUGAAGCGGGGACGCCAGUCUUCGUGGAGCCUCCCUUGAGAUACCACCCUUCGCCGUCUUGUUGUCUAACCGCGACCCGUUAUCCGGGCCCGGGACCGUGCAUGGUGGGGAGUUUGACUGGGGCGGUCGCCUCCCAAAUUGUAACGGAGGCGCGCGAUGGUUGGCUCAGACCGGUCGGAAAUCGGUCGUUGAGUGCAAUGGCAGAAGCCAGCCUGACUGCAAGACUGACAAGUCGAGCAGAGACGAAAGUCGGUCAUAGUGAUCCGGUGGUCCCAAGUGGGAGGGCCAUCGCUCAACGGAUAAAAGGUACUCUGGGGAUAACAGGCUGAUGAUGCCCAAGAGUCCAUAUCGACGGCAUCGUUUGGCACCUCGAUGUCGGCUCAUCUCAUCCUGGGGCUGGAGCAGGUCCCAAGGGUACGGCUGUUCGCCGUUUAAAGAGGUACGCGAGCUGGGUUUAGAACGUCGUGAGACAGUUCGGUCCCUAUCUGCCGUGGGUGCAGGAGACUUGAGAAGAGUUGACCCUAGUACGAGAGGACCGGGUUGAACGAACCACUGGUGGACCAGUUAUCGUGCCAACGGUAGUGCUGGGUAGCUAUGUUCGGACAGGAUAACCGCUGAAGGCAUCUAAGCGGGAAGCCCCCUUCAAAACAAGGUCUCCCUUGAGGGCCGUGGAAGGCGACCACGUCGAUAGGCCAGAGGUGUAAGCGCAGCAAUGCGUUCAGCUGACUGGUACUAAUUGCCC
rnacentral:rRNA from 1 species